rnacentral:rRNA from 1 species
AGCAGCCGCGGUAAUUCCAGCUCCAAUAGCGUAUAUUAAAGUUGUUGCAGUUAAAAAGCUCGUAGUUGAAUUUCGGGGUUAGUAGGUUGAUCAUGCCUCUGGUAUGUACUGGUCUCACUGAUUCCUCCUUCCUGAUGAACCUUAAUGCCAUUAAUUUGGUGUUUUGGGGAAUUUGGACUGUUACUUUGAAAAAAUUAGAGUGUUUAAAGCAGGCUAACGCUUGAAUACAUUAGCAUGGAAUAAUGAAAUAGGACGUUCGAUCCUAUUUUGUUGGUUUCUAGGAUUGACGUAAUGAUUAAUAGGGAUAGUUGGGGGCAUUAGUAUUCAAUUGUCAGAGGUGAAAUUCUUGGAUUUAUUGAAGACUAACUACUGCGAAAGCAUUUGCCAAGGAUGUUUUCAUUAAUCAAGAACGAAAGUUAGGGGAUCGAAGACGAUCAGAUACCGUCGUAGUCUUAACCAUAAACUAUGCCGACUAGGGAUCGGAUGAUGUUAAUUUUUUAAUGACUCAUUCGGCGCCUUACG